GUCAACGGUCCGGAGUCGGCGGAUUAUCGAAUCGGAAGGACUCGUGUUCAAAAUGAACGCUCCAUCGGCACAACUUGACCGUUGU
rnacentral:sRNA from 1 species